CACGCCCUAAACGAUGUCAACUAGGUGUUGGAAGGGUUAAACCUUUUAGUACCGUAGCUAACGCGUGAAGUUGACCGCCUGGGGAGUACGGCCGCAAGGUUAAAACUCAAAGGAAUUGACGGGGACCCGCACAAGCGGUGGAUGAUGUGGAUUAAUUCGAUGCAACGCGAAAAACCUUACCUACCCUUGACAUGUCCAGAAGCCUGAAGAGAUUUGGGUGUGCUCGAAAGAGAACUGGAACACAGGUGC
rnacentral:rRNA from 1 species